rnacentral:rRNA from 1 species
GUGCAAGCACACUGGUCGAGUCGGCCUGCGCGGAAGAUGUAACGGGGCUAAACCAUGCACCGAAGCUGCGGCAGCGACGCUUAUGCGUUGUUGGGUAGGGGAGCGUUCUGUAAGCCUGUGAAGGUGUGCUGUGAGGCAUGCUGGAGGUAUCAGAAGUGCGAAUGCUGACAUAAGUAACGAUAAAGCGGGUGAAAAGCCCGCUCGCCGGAAGACCAAGGGUUCCUGUCCAACGUAAUCGGGGCAGG